rnacentral:rRNA from 1 species
UACGGAGGGGGCUAGCGUUGUUCGGAAUUACUGGGCGUAAAGCGCACGUAGGCGGCUUUGUAAGUUAGAGGUGAAAGUCCAGGGCUUAACCCUGGAAUUGCCUUUAAGACUGCAUCGCUAGAAUCGUGGAGAGGUGAGUGGAAUUCCGAGUGUAGAGGUGAAAUUCGUAGAUAUUCGGAAGAACACCAGUGGCGAAGGCGACUCACUGGACACGUAUUGACGCUGAGGUGCGAAAGCGUGGGGAGCAAACAGGG